rnacentral:lncRNA from 1 species
AUGGAGGGCUUAGGCUUUUGGGAAGUUUCAGCAAUUCCCCCACCCUCUGGCUUGCAGCUCGCUCUCCAGCCCCAAAAGGCAGCGCUGGCUCUCCGUUUCCAAGCUCUGAAAACGAACAACUCAGCCUUGUUUCCAGAGCCCCCAAACCACACGACUCAGCCUGCGCUUUCAGACACUGAACACAUACGACUCAGCCUCUGCUCGAGCUCCAGAAACACACCUUCGGGGGGGUGCAAUCGAGCCCCUAAAACCACCCUACAACCACCAGCCCUGCUCCCCUGCUCAGCCCCGGCCUUACCCCUCGCUGUCAGCCGCUGCACACCCCCCGGUCCUUCCCGUGACCCUCAGGGAAGCCCAGCACCGCCUGCUGUGCCCCCAGCACACCCGCAGCACCCCGGCUCGGAGGCCGCAGUGUGCAGCGGGCAGGCUGCAUGGCUGCAGGACCGCAGCUCCACUAGCACAGCACACCCUGCCCGGCCUUGCCGUGAGUUGCGGGCAGCAAGCGGGGGACACGUGCUGGGGCCUUAUGGGAGUGGAGCCGCGUGCGGCAAUUGCUGCCCCUGCCCCGCUGGCCUCGCUGCUGGCGCCAUGGCCCGGGAUGCCCUCGGCUCUCAGGACGCCAGCGCACGCGGCCGGCUCGUGCCUGGUUUUCAUACAGCCCCACGCCUGUCUCCUCAGCGCGCUCCCUGCCCAGCCUGUGCUGGGGCUCGGCGCUGCCCCGCCUGGGUGUGGGACCUUGCACUGGUUGGACUCCAGGCCGUGGGGAACGUCACUGAGUUCACUUCCCAGCCAGCACGGCGCUCCCCACCUGCUGCGCUUCAGCCCCCUUGCUGUGGCUCCAUUUCUGAGAGAAAGCAGCCCGCUGGGGCGCAGAGCGAGACAGGACGUGGCUUGUGGUCGUUAGAAGGAGCUCGCGAUACUUUGAUACCGGAGCAGCCUUCUGACACAGCAGACAGCCACCUACCCGCUGCUCUUACUGCCCGCCUCACCCUUUCCACGUAG